AGUUGGCUUUCCUCCUAUCUUCUCUCAUUUGAUAUUUAAUAUAUUAACAGGCUAUAAAAUAUUUUUCAUUACACUUCUAAACUGUUCAAGAAAAUUUUAAUAAUUUUAUUCGAUAGCCAACUGUUCAAGCAGAAAUGGAAAGAGCCACCUGUAUUUCAGCCUGCGAUUGUGCUUUCUUAUUUUUUAUUUUUCAACCAGCUCCCUGUGAUAAGCUCGAAAAAUGUCGUCUUGGCUCUGGCCCGAGGGGUUUUGAAGCAUAAAAAGGGAGAUCAGCCAACAAAAAAGGUCGAAGACAAUGAGACUGCCCAAAUCUCUUUGCUCUGCAAAGGUUGGGGUCUUCUCAAUUUCUAAUUUAUAGUUCUUUCCUCUGCCUCUGUUCAGGAAAAUUGAAAUGAUAACUGUUAUCCUGUGACGAUGACUUGCCAAUCCUUCGUCAGAUUCGUGUUUUGUGAAUUAUGGCGCUUUUCAUAAUAAAAUGAAUUCAUCUUUAAAAAUUCAUGGCGGAUGUGAAAAGGGCUCACCACGAAAGUCCAGUGAGGUCGUGAAAUCCAUCAAGCAUCGAGACGACCAAGGAAAAUGAAGUCUAUGCUGUGGUGACAUCAGCAUCCACUUUGUUCAAUUCCAUUUGAGAGGAGAGCUCCGAGACUCCGACAAAACUAGUGGCUCCCUACCUAUGUUAUCGCCGACUUUUCCAAUCCUCGAUCCAUCAUCGAGAAAAUAAGAUGAAAACGCGCGCGCAGGCAUACAGUGUUGGCUGACUUUAAUAUGAUGAAGGCUAAAGGAGAGGGAUCGCGAUGUAGAAGGCAUCAAGAAACGCACAAAGGCUGUUCAGAGCGGGGAGGAGCCGGCAGCGUUGGAUGUGGUCACGACGUUGAUUAGUUGAAACAUAAAACGGGAAGACUGAAAAGAGGAGUACGGACAAGAUAGAUGGGCCGGCUGAACUGUGCCAUAACUCGGUUUUUUUUUUUUUUCUUUGGUUACUCUUGGAAGACAAUCCGUAAUUCUAUUCAAAACAUAAUGUAACAUUAAGUGUGUACACCACUUCACAUAAAA